UACGGGGGGAGCAAGCGUUGUUCGGAUUUACUGGGCGUAAAGGGCGCGUAGGCGGCCACCGCAAGUCGACUGUGAAGUCUCCGGGCUUAACCCGGAACGGUCAGCCGAUACUGCGGGGCUAGAGUGCAGAAGGGGCAACUGGAAUUCUCGGUGUAGCGGUGAAAUGCGUAGAUAUCGAGAGGAACACCUGCGGCGAAGGCGGGUUGCUGGGCUGACACUGACGCUGAUGCGCGAAAGCUAGGGGAGCGAACGGG
rnacentral:rRNA from 1 species